rnacentral:lncRNA from 1 species
UUAUAUUUUUAUUUUUUUUCUCUCUUCUUUUUGAUCUUUCUUUCUUUUUUUCUCUUGCUCUUUUUUUGUCUCUUUUUAUCUUGUAUUUUCUUGCUCUUUUCUACUCUCUCUCUUUUUCUUUUGGAUUUUUUUUUCCUACUUUCUUUCUCUCUUCCACUCUACCUUACUUUUUUUCUUUUUCUCUUUCUUGUAUUUUUUUGAUAUUUCUUUCUUUUUUUCUUAAACUC